rnacentral:rRNA from 1 species
UACGUAGGGGGCAAGCGUUGUCCGGAUUUACUGGGCGUAAAGAGCGUGUAGGCGGCCACGCAGGUCCGUUGUGAAAACUGGAGGCUCAACCUCCAGCUGUCGACGGAAACCGUAUGGCUAGAGUCCGGAAGAGGAGAGUGGAAUUCCCGGUGUAGCGGUGAAAUGCGCAGAUAUCGGGAAGAACACCCGUGGCUAAGGCGGCUCUCUAGUACGGUACUGACGCUGAGACGCGAAAGCGUGGGGAGCGAACAGG